ensembl:lncRNA
ACCGUUUGAUAUGUAUGCCUCAUGCAAUAAAUACAAUAAUAAUGGCAGUAGGUAUAAUAAUGGCAGUAGGUAUAAUAAUGCAUAUAAUGUGUAUUCUCCAUUGAAUGAAUAUACAACACCUCAAAGAAAAAAUGAUUAUAAUUUUAGCGUUAUUUCUUCAUUAUAUAACUAUCAACAUGAUUCUUGUAAUAAAUAUGCGAUUGAUGAAGAAUAUGGUCAUAUCAUUAACAAUUCUGUUUGUACUAGUAACUGUACUCCUUCUGCUUAUUAUAACAAUAACUACAACAGCUACAACAACUACAGCAACAGCCCAAACAACUACAACAACAGUCCAAACAACUACAAUAGUAGCCCAAAUAACAGCCCAAAUAAUAGCCCAAACAAUAGGUAUAAGAGCAACACAAAUAAACCACUAUUUACUCACAUAAAAUUUGAUAUGUUUGUUUUUCUUUUAUUAAAAAUAAUUCUGAAAGGGGAGUUACAGGAAUAUCCAUCGUAUAAUAAACUAAAUCCUGUGUUAAAAUAUUUAAAAUUAGAAAUGUAUAAAAAAAUAGUAGAAGAUUUUAAAAUACUAAUUAAAUGUACACUCACUAAAAAAUUAAAAAAUAAAAAAGCUAUAUUAAUUUAUCUAAAAUCUUAUUAUAAUAAAUAUGCAAACAAAAUAAAACGAUUUGAUUAUCGAUCUGCUAAAAAAGAUAUGAAUAUUAUUAAAAAUAUGUUGAUAUUAAAAAAAAACCAUUUUUUAUACUCCUCAUCUCUUCAGUCUUUUAAUUUUUUUUCUAAAAAAUGUUUAAAUGCUUAUUUGGGUAACUAUGACGUUAAUCAAGACGACCAAAGGAGGACAAAAAAAAAUGAUAGGAGGAAAAAAAAAAAUGAAAGGAGGACAAAAAAAAAAAUAAAACUAACUAUUCCAUUUGUUUUUAGUUCCCCUAAAAUAAAAACUGUAUUUGAAACAUCUUUUCAGACACUUUUUUCACGCCGCAAACCAAAAGUACUUAAUGUGUUACAACAAGGGGAAGGCUAUAAUAAUUAUAAAAUUUUUGA